rnacentral:rRNA from 1 species
UACGAAGGGGGCUAGCGUUGCUCGGAAUCACUGGGCGUAAAGGGUGCGUAGGCGGGUCUUUAAGUCAGGGGUGAAAUCCUGGAGCUCAACUCCAGGACUGCCUUUGAUACUGGGGAGCUCGAGUCCGGAAGAGGUGAGUGGAACUCCGAGUGUAGAGGUGAAAUUCGUAGAUAUUCGGAAGAACACCAGUGGCGAAGGCGGCUCACUGGUCCGGUACUGACGCUGAGGUGCGAAAGCGUGGGGAGCAAACAGG